GAGUUUGAUCAUGGCUCAGGGUGAACGCUAGCGGCGGGCUUAACACAUGAAGUCGUGCGGAGGGGGCAACCCCUCAGCGGCGGACGGGUGCGUAACACUAGGUAACCUGCCCUCAGGAGGGGGAUAACUCUGGGAAACCAGAGCUAAACCCCAUAAAGCAAGGGCACCGCAUGGUGGGCUUGCUAAAGCCGAAAGGGCCUGAGGAGGGGCCUGCGGCCGAUUAGCUGGUUGGUGAGGUAACGGCUACCAAGGCGAUGAUCGGUAGCUGGUCUGAGAGGACGACCAGCCACAGGGCACUGAGACACGGGUCCCACUCCUACGGGAGGCAGCAGUGGGGAAUCUUGGCAAUGGGCGAAAGCCUGACCCAGCCACGCCGCGUGCCGGAUGAAGGUCGAUGGAUUGUAAACGGCUCUUCUCAGGGAGAAACCCGGGGGUCGCCCCGGUUGAUAGUACCUGGGGAAUAAGCGCCGGCUAACUACGUGCCAGCAGCGCGGUAAGACGUAGGGCGCAAGCGUUACCCGGAGUUACUGGGCUUAAAGGUCCGUAGGCGGCGGAGCACGUCUCGGGUCAAAGCCCUCCGCUCAACGGGGAAAGGCUUGAGAUACGGCUUCGCUAGAGUCAGCCUGGGGAUGCUGGAUUCCCGGUGUAGCGGUGAAAUGCGUAGAUAUCGGGAGGAACACCGUUCGGAAGGCGGGCAUCUAAGGCUGUACUGACGCUGAGGGACGAAAGCGUGGGAGCAAACAGGAUUAGAUACCCUGGUAGUCCACGCCCUAAACGAUGCGCAUAGUCGUUCGCCCGUCAGGGUGAGCGGCGGAGGGAAACCGUUAAGUGCGCGCCUGGGGAGUACGCUCGCAAGGGUGAAACUCAAAUGAAUUG
rnacentral:rRNA from 1 species